GCAGAAUUCGCCCUUAGAGUUUGAUCCUGGCUCAGGAUGAACGCUAGCUACAGGCUUAACACAUGCAAGUCGAGGGGAAACGACAUCGAAAGCUUGCUUUUGAUGGGCGUCGACCGGCGCACGGGUGAGUAACGCGUAUCCAACCUGCCCACCACUUGGGGAUAACCUUGCGAAGGUAAGACUAAUACCCAAUGAUAUCUCUAGAAGACAUCUGAAAGAGAUUAAAGAUUUAUCGGUGAUGGAUGGGGAUGCGUCUGAUUAGCUUGUUGGCGGGGUAACGGCCCACCAAGGCAACGAUCAGUAGGGGUUCUGAGAGGAAGGUCCCCCACAUUGGAACUGAGACACGGUCCAAACUCCUACGGGAGGCAGCAGUGAGGAAUAUUGGUCAAUGGACGAGAGUCUGAACCAGCCAAGUAGCGUGCAGGAUGACGGCCCUAUGGGUUGUAAACUGCUUUUAUAAGGGAAUAAAGUGAGUCUCGUGAGAUUUUUUGCAUGUACCUUAUGAAUAAGGACCGGCUAAUUCCGUGCCAGCAGCCGCGGUAAUACGGAAGGUCCGGGCGUUAUCCGGAUUUAUUGGGUUUAAAGGGAGCGUAGGCCGGAGAUUAAGCGUGUUGUGAAAUGUAGAUGCUCAACAUCUGCACUGCAGCGCGAACUGGUUUCCUUGAGUACGCACAAAGUGGGCGGAAUUCGUGGUGUAGCGGUGAAAUGCUUAGAUAUCACGAAGAACUCCGAUCGCGAAGGCAGCUCACUGGAGCGCAACUGACGCUGAAGCUCGAAAGUGCGGGUAUCGAACAGGAUUAGAUACCCUGGUAGUCCGCACGGUAAACGAUGGAUGCCCGCUGUUGGUCUGAAUAGGUCAGCGGCCAAGCGAAAGCAUUAAGCAUCCCACCUGGGGAGUACGCCGGCAACGGUGAAACUCAAAGGAAUUGACGGAAGGGCGAAUU
rnacentral:rRNA from 1 species